GACGAACGCUGGCGGCGUGCUUAACACAUGCCAGUCGAACGGAAAGGCCCUGCUUUUGUGGGGUGCUCGAGUGGCGAACGGGUGAGUAACACGUGAGUAACCUGCCCUUGACUUUGGGAUAACUUCAGGAAACUGGGGCUAAUACCGGAUAGGAGCUCCUGCUGCAUGGUGGGGGUUGGAAAGUUUCGGCGGCUGGGGAUGGACUCGCGGCUUAUCAGCUUGUUGGUGGGGUAGUGGCUUACCAAGGCUUUGACGGGUAGCCGGCCUGAGAGGGUGACCGGCCACAAUGGGACUGGGAUACGGCCCAGACUCCUACGGGAGGCAACAGGGGGGAAUAUUGCACAAUGGGCGGGAGCCUGAUGCAGCAACGCCGCGUGCGGGAUGACGGCCUUCGGGGUGUAAACCGCUUUCGCCUGUGACGAAGCGUGAGUGACGGUAAUGGGUAAAGAAGCAACGGCUAACUACGUG
rnacentral:rRNA from 1 species